GGCCGCGGAGCGGGCGGAGCGGGCCCCGGGGGCGGCGGGCGCCCCUCGCCCUCGCCCCGCCGCGGGGCCGGGCGGCCGCGGCCGCGGCGCCGCCGACACCUUACUUCCUGCUUCGCUACCCAGAGCCAGACCCAUCGCGGCGGAGGGAUCCCGUCGCCUCCAGCUGCCUCCUCCCCCUUCUGCUUCUGCUUUUUUUUUUUUUUUUUUUUCCUCCUCUCCUCGCUCUUUUGCGAGAAAAUAAUUUGACAGCGAUUUGCUGACAGCGGGAUUUCGUGCAUCACGGGCGAGGGAAGGGCGGCGCGGCCGGAGCCGCCGCGGGAGGCCGUGCCGGAGAUGGAAUUUUGUAACUGGCUGGAUUCUGAAUAGGGCAAGGAGAUGUGUCUGAUAAGAUACAUCACUUUGAGAUCACAGAAUGAGAACGGCAUGAAAUGUUAUGGCGAAGACAGCACGGCAAGAUACAACAGUCUCACAAGUAAUCAAAAAUCAGAUGCCUGGCACACUGAACCUAUUACUGUGUGUAAGAUUUGCGCUGUGGUCCAUUUUUUGAAGAUGUGAAGCAACGUUGAGUCUGAUUGGAAUUACUGACAGACUGGAGGAAAUCUUAGUCCUGUUGCACACGCACAUGCUGAAUUAUAAGUAAUCCUAGCUUCUCUUCCCGCCCCUCACUCCCUCACUCAGCUAUCUCAGGGUUCAUAGAGAUUUCAAUGGUUCGCGUGCCUGUAAGAU
rnacentral:lncRNA from 1 species